ACCUCCCCUCCUCCCAGAGAGAUUCCAACCCUACCAUAAACUUCUCCACACACGUAAACAUUCAAAGCUUGUGAUAAGCCCCCUCAUCCUAAAACCAAUACAUACUCUUAGUCUGUAAGAGAAAGCACUUCUGACCGCAAUGGGCCAGGAGCGCCUUAAUCAGAGACUCAAAACAAUGCAACCAUUUGUCUCUUAUCUACCUGUGACCUGGAAGCCCCCUCCCUCAUUUAGAGUUGUCCUGCCUUUCUGGACUGAACCAAUGUUCUUCUUAGGUAUAUUGACUGAUGUCUCAUGUCUCCCUAAAAUGUAUAAAAUCAAACUGUGCCUCAGCCACCUUGGGCACAUGUCCUCAGGACUUCCUGAGGCUGUGUCAUGAGCCUCUGUCCUUAACUUUGGCAAAAUAAACUUCCUAAUUUGACUGAGACCUGUCUCAGAUAUUUGGGGUUCACAAGGUUUUGUGACAGGGACCUGU
rnacentral:lncRNA from 1 species